rnacentral:rRNA from 1 species
GACGAACGCUGGCGGCGUGCUUAACACAUGCAAGUCGAACGGAAAGGCCUCUUUCGGGGGGUACUCGAGUGGCGAACGGGCGAGUAACACGCGAGUAACCUGCCCUUGACUUUGGGAUAACUUCAGGAAACUGGGGCUAAUACAGGAUAGGAGCUCCUGCUGCAUGGUGGGGGUUGGAAAGUUUCGGCGGUUGGGGGUGGACUAGCGGCGUAUCAGCUUGUUGGUGGGGUAGUGGCUUACCAAGGCUUUGACGUGGAGCCGGACAGUGAGGGUGACCGGCGGCCUUGGGUCUGACGGGAAGCACAAGUAGCGAAGGGAGGGAGAAGGGGGGAAGCCUGACGGAGGAGUGCAGCGUGGGUGAUGAAGCGCUGCGGGUGGGAAAACGCUGUUAUGGGUGAAGACCGAUUUUGCUAAUGACGAAGCACUGUGUGACGGUACUGGGUAAAGAAGCAACGGCUAACUACGUG